rnacentral:tRNA from 1 species
UAGGCUGAAGCCCGCUGGAUUGGGCGGUUAGUUGUUAACUAAUAUUUUAUGGGAUCGAAGCCCAUCAGUCUA